AUGAUAAUGUUUCUCAAAUAUUGGGGCCAAAAGAAUGAUUUGGUAGGUAGUAACAAGAUGAAUAGCUACUGUCUUUGCUGGAUGAUUAUCUUUUUCCUACAAGUCCAGAAUAUUCUACCAACAAUAGAAUUUUUAAACAGCUUUUCACCUGAGCAUAUGCAAUACAUGGGAUGGGAUGUUUCAUUUUUCAACAUAUCCCAUGUAAUUGUCAGUGAAAUCCGGGAGCAGUUUCUGCUUCAGAAUCCAUAUCAAGAGAAAUCCAUUCGCCAGUUGUUAAUUGAAUUUUUUGACUAUUACUUAACAUUUGAUUAUGGAAAAAAUGUCAUCUGCCCAAUAAUAGGCACAACAAUCCCACGAACUAACUUUGAAAACUUGACUGAUCUCCCUCCUAGUAUGGUACAGUUUGUUCGAGAGGCUCAAACUCUGCGUAUGUCAAGGACCGAUGACUUCAUGUUUGCCCGGUCUUUCGUUUUUUGUUUACAAGAUCCAAUUGAACUGACCUUCAACAUCGGCAAAUGUAUGUCGCCUAAACUUAAAGAUCAUUUUAAACUUUGCUGCAAAACAGCAACACAGAUUCUGGUCACAGAGAAAGUUUAUAUGAUAGUGCCCAAACUAACUCAGGGACAGAAUUCAAAAGAACCAGAAGGAAAUGCGUAUAUUAUGACAGGGCAAGAGCAAGUCUCCAUGACUGUAGAUCAGACACUCAAAAUGCUCAAAAAAUCCUAUUGUCACACAAUAAGUGUAGAACAAAGUGAAUUGCAUUCUGACCCUCACCUGUGGAUUAGUGACCUGUUCAUGGCUUUAAUAUUGGUUUUAAAUAAAUGUUGGCAAUUUGAUAUUUCUGUCUGUUCAAAAAAUAAGUGCACUGAUGAAAUCAUCAAUAAAAAGUAUCUUCAGUUUGGAAAGAAGUUCAAUCUAAGUUGGUGUCAAAUUCUGUAUUGUAAAGGCUCAUCAGUUCUAUUUCAUAACAAAAAAAAGCUAAAAAAGGAGAUGAAGUCAAUUUCAUUACCAAACAAGCUCAAAAAUAAGUCUGAAUUUGAAAAAGAAAUAUACCAAUACACUAAAAUAUUCCAAAAAGAGAUGAGCUCUAAAAGCUCUGAACAGCAGUCAAAGGAACAAUUUGUUUAG
rnacentral:lncRNA from 1 species